UUAUGUGGGCGACUCUAAGGAGACUGCCGGUGCAAACCGGAGGAAGUGGGGAUGACGUCAAGUCAUCAUGGCCCUUACGGCCUGGGCUACACACGUGCUACAAUGGUCGGUACAAAGGGUUGCCAAGCCGCGAGGCGGAGCUAAUCCCAUAAAACCGAUCGUAGUCCGGAUCGCAGUCUGCAACUCGACUGCGUGAAGUCGGAAUCGCUAGUAAUCGUGAAUCAGAAUGUCACGGUGAAUACGUUCCCGGGCCUU
rnacentral:rRNA from 1 species